CAGCGCCUGCAGCUCGAUCCUCAAGGGGGUCAAGACCGUGCGCUUGUUUAAUCUGGUCGCGCCGCUGGCCCCGCCCGCAGUUUCACCCGCGGUGGAGGCCACCGCCAUGCGCAGCACGGAUACCGCUCGCCAGCUGGAGCUGCCGUUCGCUCCGGCCGGCGAGGCCGCGUCCGGCGCAGUUACCGGGCCGAGGCUUCGACCCGGCGACGUGGAUAGCGCGACAGGUGG
rnacentral:ncRNA from 12 species